AUCCCUGUAGCGCGAUGAGUUAGCGCGCGUUGAACUUCUAAUUCAAAGGUCGUUGGUUUGAAUCUCACCUGGCAUG